GCGGGUAUGAUUCAAUGGUAGAAUACGACCUUCCCAAGGUUGAGAUACGGGUUCGAUUCCCGUUACCCGCUCCA
rnacentral:tRNA from 1 species